rnacentral:rRNA from 1 species
CAGCCGCCGCGGUAAUACCGGCGGCCCGAGUGGCGGUCACUCUUAUUGGGCUUAAAGCGUCCGUAGCCGGGGUGGGAAGUCCUCCGGGAAAUCUGGCCGCUUAACGGUCAGAAUGCCGGAGGAUACUCCCAGCCUAGGGAGCGGGAGAGGCCGAGGGGAUUCCCGGAGUAGGGGGGAAAUCCUAUAAUCCCGGGAGGCCCACCUGUGGCGAAGGCGCUCGGCUGGAACGCGUCCGACGGUGAGGGACGAAGGCCAGGGGAGCAAACCGGAUUAGAUACCCGGGUAGUCCUGGCUGUAAACGAUGCGGACUUUGUGUCGGACAAGCUAUGAGCUUGUCCGGUGCCGGAGGGAAACCGUUAAGUCCGCCGCCUGGGGAGUACGGCCGCAAGGCUGAAACUUAAAGGAAUUGGCGGG